CGGGCACAGAGCACAGCUAAGACUCCAGCUGUAUUACAUCCUACUCUCUUUUGCUCGGCACCUUGCAUCCGAGCCAGCUGUUAUCACCACCAGGACGCGCUUCAUGUGGCAGACCGAUUUCAAUUUCCGAGGCAUUUUGGAGGGCUCAGGGAGCUUCCUGCCAACCUCUCCAUCAAACCCCAAUUGCCUCCGGCGAGUUGUUUGACUCCAGUGGAGUUUGUUAAUUAGAUUUUGCCCCAGAUUGGACUUUCUACUGAAAGAUUCGAAUGCGGAAAAAAAAAAAAGUCAGUCAUAAUUCUUACUAGUGGCGCGGGUCAUGGAGGCUCAUUCGAUUUAAGGCAUCCCACAUAUUUAGUGGGUUGAAUGCAUAUGAAUCCAGACCUCUCAUACGAAGAUAAGAAGCUUUACCAACUCA